rnacentral:lncRNA from 1 species
GGUAUUAAAUUUUUAUCAUAUUUUCCGUUUCCAUGUUCAAUACAUUUCUUCUCCUUCGCAAUCAAACUAAUUUUUUGCUCAUAAACCAAAAUCCCCCGCCCCCAACUAAAAGAGAAAAGAUCAGUGGGUGCCAAAAGGCUUGGAUGGUACAGGUUUAUCUUGUGAUAGUACCUUGCCGUGUGAGGCUUUAGUGAGCUCAUUUCUUGAUGGCUGUAGGUGGAAUGAGGGGCUUGUGCGGCAAUUAUUUCAAUCGAAUGAAGCGGAUUUGAUAUCCCAUUGCCCCAUUGUGCUUCGAGGGAUGUUUUAGUAUGGGGGCACUCACCGACGAGGGUGUACUAUACUAAAAGUGGUUGCUCUUGGCUUUUGUUGCAAUCGUUGGGAUAUGGCCUGCAUAGGGCCCUUUGGAGAGUCCUCUAGAAGUUAUCAGUGUUACUGAAAGUGCGCUUGUUCGUUUGGCGUGUGUCGGAUGAAAUUCUUCUGACUUAAGAUUGCUACCUUGAAUGACCUCCCUAAUUUGGUGUGUAGGCGGUGCGAUAAUGAGCGCAAGACAGCCUUGCAUGCGUUGGG